rnacentral:rRNA from 1 species
UACGUAGGGGGCAAGCGUUGCCCGGAUUUAUUGGGCGUAAAGAGCGUGUAGGCGGCCAAGCAGGUCCGCUGUGAAAACUCGAGGCUCAACCUCGAGACGUCGGUGGAAACCGUUUGGCUAGAGUCCGGAAGAGGAGAGUGGAAUUCCCGGUGUAGCGGUGAAAUGCGCAGAUAUCGAGAGGAACACCAGUGGCGAAGGCGAGUCCCUGGACAACACCUGACACUGAGGCACGAAAGCUAGGGGAGCAAACAGG